rnacentral:ncRNA from 1 species
GCGUAUUUUGCCCAGGCGGAGCUCGACCGCCCGUUUCGCAAGUGACUGCUUUCAUUGAAGAACAUCGCGGUGAGUUCGGGGUCGAGCCGAUGUGCAAAAUGCUGCAAAUCGCCC